GCCCGGUUAGCUCAAUUGGAUAGAGCGUGAGACUCUUACGGCAGGCGCAGUGUCGAAAUCUCAAGGUUGCGGGUUCGACCCCCGCAUUGGGCU